UCUUGUGUUAAAGUUAACCACGGCGGCGUCUGGUGAGAACGGCUGCAGGGCAGAUUCUGACUUCUCUGUUGUUGCUACAAUUUGAACUUGAAAACAGUAUUUUUGAAUCUUGGACUCUACAUGGAAGUUUUAGGCCUAUGUCUUAGCUUUCCGUU
rnacentral:pre_miRNA from 1 species